UGAAUGUGUACCUCGGAUCAGGUAGGAAUACCCGCUGAACUUAA
rnacentral:rRNA from 1 species